rnacentral:lncRNA from 1 species
UUAUUUAAAAAAGAGCUUGGGGGCAGGUAGUGGAGGUUAAGCGGGUUAAUGAUAGGUUGAUAUCGAUUAAGUUGGUCAUUGGAGAGUCUACGUUGAAUGUUGUUAGUGCUUAUGUAUCAUGACCUAAACCAGGGCCUGGCCGUGAUGGGUAUCUCAAGUCCAAUGAGAACCGAAGACCAUCCCCUGCACCUAACCAAUAGAAUACAAUACCCUAAUUUCGGAUGAAUUUCAAACAUAUAACAAGAUAGUAUAAGAUAAACUCGAAGACUUCAGGAUAAGUCAAUGGCCAACAACUGGC